GACGAACGCUGGCGGCGUGCCUAAUACAUGCAAGUCGAACGCAGUGGGGACGGGUGAGUAACACGUGGGUAACCUCCCAUCAGAGGGGAUAACACUUGGAAACAGGUGCUAAACCGAUACUGAUGGAUGAACCCGCGGUGCAUUAGCUAGUUGGUGCGGUAACGGCUCACCAAGGCCACGAUGCAUAGCCGCCCUGAGAGUGUGAUCGGCCACUAUGGGAUUGGGCAACGGCCCAGACUCCUACGUGAGGCAGCAGUAGGGAAUCUUCGGCAAUGGACGAAAGUCUGACCGAGCAACGCCGUGUGAGUGAAGAAGUUUUUCGGAUCGUAAAACUCUUUUGUUAGAGAAGCGGUAUCUAACCAGAAAGCCACGGCUAACUCCGUGCCAGCAGCCGCGGUAAUUC
rnacentral:rRNA from 1 species